rnacentral:rRNA from 1 species
AUGAGCAGGAAGCCGGGUGACUGGAGUUGCAGGUCAUGCCAGUACCUCAACUUCUGCAAACGGGACGCUUGCCAGCGGUGCGGCGAGGCUAAGCUGGGCGCCGAGCGGGCAGACUACGCGGCCAUGGGCGGCAGCUGGGAAGUCAAGCCCGGCGAUUGGUACUGCGGCUGCUGCGGCGUCAACAACUACGCCAAUCGCGCCAGCUGCUUCUAGUGCAGCGCCGCAAAGACAGACUCCGCCGCGGUCGCGCAGAACUGGGGGUUCAACGCCGCCGCCCAGGCCGGCUGGAAGGCCGGCGACUGGAUCUGCCCCAGACUAGAUUGUAACGUGCAAAAUUACGCCAACAGAACCGAGUGCUUCCGCUGCAAUGCGCCCAAAUCAUACUAUGGUAAGAUCAUCUCCUGUGAAUUCAACCCAUCCCACGGCACAUUUACACUACUUCUUGUUUGCGAGCGACGAGAGCACAUAUAUUGA